rnacentral:rRNA from 1 species
GACGAACGCUGGCGGCGUGCUUAACACAUGCAAGUCGAGCGAUGAAGCUUCUUCGGAAGUGGAUUAGCGGCGGACGGGUGAGUAACACGUGGGUAACCUGCCUCAUAGAGGGGAAUAGCCUUUCGAAAGGAAGAUUAAUACCGCAUAAGAUUGUAGUACCGCAUGGUGCAGCAAUUAAAGGAGUAAUCCGCUAUGAGAUGGACCCGCGUCGCAUUAGCUAGUUGGUGAGGUAACGGCUCACCAAGGCGACGAUGCGUAGCCGACCUGAGAGGGUGAUCGGCCACAUUGGGACUGAGACACGGCCCAGACUCCUACGGGAGGCAGCAGUGGGGAAUAUUGCACAAUGGGUGAAACCCUGAUGCAGCAACGCCGCGUGAGUGAUGACGGUCUUCGGAUUGUAAAGCUCUGUCUUCAGGGACGAUAAUGACGGUACCUGAGGAGGAAGCCACGGCUAACUACGUGCCAGCCGCCGCAGUAA